CGGAUUGUAAACUCCUGUUGAGUGGGAAGAAAGGCGACUACCUAAUACGUAGUUGAGAUGACGGUACCACUAUAGAAAGCACCGGCAAACUUCGUGC
rnacentral:rRNA from 1 species